rnacentral:sRNA from 1 species
CCUGCGGCGGAAUGUAUUUUCCGAAAAAGGGAUGUUGCGCAGCGUGACCAUGCUGCGCGAGGACGACUUUACGUCCUCUGCCUGAGCCUUCACCGGCUCCCUGUUCGCCACGUCCCCAGAAGGGACGUGGCGUAUAGGUUU